UACGUAGGUGGCAAGCGUUGUCCGGAUUUACUGGGCGUAAAGAGCGCGCAGGCGGUCGGAUCAGUCGAAUGUGAAAGCCCCCGGCUCAACUGGGGAGGGUCAUUCGAUACUGUCCGACUCGAAGGCAGGAGAGGGAAGUGGAAUUCCCGGUGUAGUGGUGAAAUGCGUAGAUAUCGGGAGGAACACCAGUGGCGAAGGCGACUUCCUGGCCUGUUCUUGACGCUGAGGCGCGAAAGCUAGGGGAGCAAACGGG
rnacentral:rRNA from 1 species